rnacentral:rRNA from 1 species
UACGUAGGGGGCUAGCGUUGUCCGGAAUCAUUGGGCGUAAAGAGCGUGUAGGCGGCCCGGUAAGUCCGCUGUAAAAGUCAAAGGCUCAACCUUUGAAUGUCAGUGGAUACUGCCGGGCUAGAGUCCGGAAGAGGCGAGUGGAACUCCUGGUGUAGCGGUGAAAUGCGUAGAUAUCAGGAGGAACACCUGCGGUGUAGACGGCUUUCUGGACCAUAACUGACGCUGAGAUACGAAAGCGUGGGUAGCAAACAGG